CUGGGAACACGUCAUGCUGUGAGGGCCUGAAAAUUUCAGCCCUGAAUUCUGCUGAGCACAAAAAACUUCUACAUGAUGUGAGGCGUGUACAACGGAGCAAGAUUACAGAGAAACAUCAGAGGUGGAAAGGAAAACUCCUAAAUCCCAUCCUAUCCCUCACUUCAACUGCAGAUGUGGAUAGCUCCUGGCUUGAUCAGUUUAACCUUGCUCACUCAGAUGUAUGUUGAGUUGAGUACAUUGAGUUUCGCAUUCCCCAGCCUCUACCUCAGCUUCAAGCCACACCACCCAGCCUUACAAAUAAAUCA